UCAGUCAUUUGUGAGAACUCCUAAGU
rnacentral:piRNA from 1 species